rnacentral:rRNA from 1 species
UGGCGAACGGGUGAGUAACACGUGGGUAACCUGCCCAUCAGAAGGGGAUAACACUUGGAAACAGGUGCUAGUACCGUAUAACACUAUUUUCCGCAUGGAAGAAAGUUGAAAGGCGCUUUUGCGUCACUGAUGGAUGGACCCGCGGUGCAUUAGCUAGUUGGUGAGGUAACGGCUCACCAAGGCAACGAUGCACAGCCGACCUGAGAGGGUGAUCGGCCACACUGGGACUGAGACACGGCCCAGACUCCUACGGGAGGCAGCAGUAGGGAAUCUUCGGCAAUGGACGAAAGUCUGACCGAGCAACGCCGCGUGAGUGAAGAAGGUUUUCGGAUCGUAAAACUCUGUUGUUAGAGAAGAACAAGGAUGAGAGUAAAACGUCAUCCC